UACAGAGGGUGCGAGCGUUGUCCGGAAUCACUGGGCGUAAAGGGCGCGUAGGUGGCGACCCAAGUCUGUGGUGAAAGCUCGCCGCUUAACGGCGAGUCGGCCACGGAUACUGGGUGGCUCGAGCACUGUAGGGGCAGAUGGAAUUCCUGGUGUAGCGGUGAAAUGCGCAGAUAUCAGGAGGAACACCAAUGGCGAAGGCAGCUCGCUGGAACGGUACUGACGCUGAGGCGCGAAAGCCAGGGGAGCAAACGGG
rnacentral:rRNA from 1 species